CGCGCCCUUCGGGGUGAGCGGCGGACGGGUGAGUAACGCGUGGGAAUAUGCCCUUCUCUAAGGAAUAGCCUCGGGAAACUGAGAGUAAUACCUUAUACGCCCUACGGGGGAAAGAUUUAUCGGAGAAGGAUUAGCCCGCGUUAGAUUAGGUAGUUGGUGGGGUAAUGGCCUACCAAGCCUACGAUCUAUAGCUGAUUUGAGAGGAUGAUCAGCCACAUUGGGACUGAGACACGGCCCAAACUCCUACGGGAGGCAGCAGUGGGGAAUCUUGCACAAUGGAGGAAACUCUGAUGCAGCGAUGCCGCGUGAGUGAAGAAGGCCUUUGGGUUGUAAAGCUCUUUCGUCGGGGAAGAAAAUGACUGUACCCGA
rnacentral:rRNA from 1 species